GCGGACCGGCGGACCGGCGGACGGGCGGACGGGCGGACGGCUCCGACCGCCGGCGCAGACCACGCCUCCUCCCCGCCCACGCUGGGGCUUCCUGUUGACAUGGCCGCUGCCUGGCGUCCUCGAAUUCCGAGGCAGAAAAAAAAAGGGAAAGUCAGUCAGCCGGACGCGCACACAGAUCCCCUCCCUGUUGGGUCACCGCAGAGCCCUGAGUAGGGUGGCCCCUGUUAUCCGGUGGAUUCCUUAUGGCUGAGUGACCAGAGAAUGCCUAGAGUUACCAUCAAUUCAGUUCAAUCACAGUUGUGUCCGACUCUUUGCGACCCCAUGAACCCCAGCAGGCCAGGCCUCUCCAUCCAUCACCAACUCCCAGAAUUUACUCAAACUCAUGUCCAUCGAGUCAGUGAUGCCAUCCAGCCAUCUCAUCCUCUGUCGUCCCCUUCUCCUCCUGCCCUCAAUCUUUCCCAGCAUCAAGGUCUUUUGCAAUGAGUCAGCUCUUCUCAUGAGGUGGCCAAAGUAUUGGAGUUUCAGCUUCAGCAUCAGUCCUUCCAAUGAACACCCAGGACUGAUCUCCUUCAGGACUGGUUGGAUCUCUUUGCAGUCCAAGGGACUCUCAAGAGUCUUCUCCAACACCAUAGUUCAAAAGCAUCAAUUUUUCAGCACUCAGCUUUCUUCACAGUCCAACUUUCACAUCCAUACAUGACCACUGGAACAACCGUAGCCUUGACUAGAUGGACCUUUGUUGGCAAAGUAAUGUCUCUGCUUUUUAAUAUGCUAUCUAGGUUGUCAUAACUUUCCUUCCAGGUUACCAUAUGGCCCAGCAAUUCCACUCCUCAGCAUGUACCUGGCAGAAAUGAAAAUAUAUUUCCACACAAAAACACAUACACAAAUGUUCAUUCAGGUAUUGUUCAUAAUGACCAAAAAGUCAAAACAACCGAAAUACCCAUCAAGUAAAGUGUGGUAUAGCCAUACAAUGGAAUAUUAUUUGGCAAUUUUUUAAUAAUGAAGUAUUAAUACAUGGCUUCCCUGGUAGCUCAACUGGUAAAGAAUCUGCCUGCAAUGCAGAAGACCCCAGUUCGAUCCCUGGAGGAGGAAGGCAUGGCAACCCACUCCAGUAUUCUUGCCUGGAGAAUCCUCAUGGACAGAGGAGCCUGGCGGGCUGCAGGCCAUGCACUUGCAAAGAGUCAGGCUCAACUGAGCAACUAAGCACAACGGUACCUGGUACAAGAAGCUGGUUGUUUAAAGCAUUAAGAAUGAAAGCUGCUGUUUACUACUUGGAAGAAGUCAGUAAGGAAGAAUCACAAGGGAUAUGCGUCCAUUCACUUAAAAUGUCCAGAAGAGGCAAAUCGGUAGAAACAAAAUAUAUCAGUGGUUGCCUAGGGCUGUGGGGCAGAGGAGGUAAAAAGGGAAAUAAUUGCUAAUGGGUAUGAGAGUUUUUUCAGGGUGAUGAAAUGUUCUAAAAUGGGUUGCAGUGUUACUUUUCUGGAUUUUGUAACUUUGUAGCAUUUGCCAUCUUUUUAAAUUUUGUAAUCUGUUGUGAUUUGUUCUCAUUCUAAAUAGUCUCUUCUGUAAAAUGAAUUUCAUCUGCAGAAUCAGAAAAAAUAAAAAUUAAAGUAAAACUGAUCACUAUGUUGUAUAACAGGAAGAAAUAUACUGCUGCAGGUUGAUCAUACUUCAAAACCAGUCAGUGACCCAAAUAAACAAAAGAA